GAUUUUGAUCAUGGCUCAGAAGUGAACGCUGGCGGGUAGGCCUUAACACAUGCAAGUCGAACGGCAGCACAGUAAGAGCUGCUCUUAUGGGUGGGGAGGGGGCGGACGGGUGAGGAAAUACAUCGGAAUCUACUUUUUCGUGGGGGGAUAACGUAGGAGAAACUUACGCUAAUCCGGCAUACGACCUACGGGGUGAAAGCAGGGGAUCUUCGGGCCUUGCGCGAUUGAAUGAGCCGAUGUCGGAUUAGCUAGUUGGCGGGGUAAAGGCCCACCAAGGCGACGAUCCGUAGCUGGUCUGAGAAGAUGAUCAGCCACACUGGAACUGAGACACGGUCCAGACUCCUACGGGAGGCAGCAGUGGGGAAUAUUGGACAAUGGGCGCAAGCCUGAUCCAGCCAUACCGCGUGGGUGAAGAAGGCCUUCGGGUUGUAAAGCCCUUUUGUUGGGAAAGAAAUCCAGCCGGCUAAUACCUGGUUGGGAUGACGGUACCCAAAGAAUAAGCACCGGCUAACUUCGUGCCAGCAGCCGCGGUAAUACGAAGGGUGCAAGCGUUACUCGGAAUUACUGGGCGUAAAGCGUGCGUAGGUGGUUGUUUAAGUCUGUUGUGAAAGCCCUGGGCUCAACCUGGGAACUGCAGUGGAAACUGGACAACUAGAGUGUGGUAGAGGGUAGCGGAAUUCCCGGUGUAGCAGUGAAAUGCGUAGAGAUCGGGAGGAACAUCCAUGGCGAAGGCAGCUACCUGGACCAACACUGACACUGAGGCACGAAAGCGUGGGGAGCAAACAGGAUUAGAUACCCUGGUAGUCCACGCCCUAAACGAUGCGAACUGGAUGUUGGGUGCAAUUUGGCACGCAGUAUCGAAGCUAACGCGUUAAGUUC
rnacentral:rRNA from 1 species